CAGGCUCAGGUUGGCCACCCCUGCUAUAGCCCAUGUAGAUUGUCUAGCAUUCUGGCACCAAAUUCAUCAAACAGGCAAAACUUUGAAUAUAGCAUCAAUACAAUGCACAUUUUAAAAAUCUAGAUCAGUAAUACUUUAUAAUAAAACCCUUGCUUGUAAAUUUGCUGUUAAACACCAGAAUCAGCAUUCAUGUUUAGAGUUGGAAAUCCAUUUCCAUUUUAAAAUUAUAGCACAGAGGCAAGUUUUUCUUGAUUUAGUGGGGAUGGCAAUAAGAAUAUUGUUGUUCUAACCCAGGUCCAGUGGUUGAUCAAGAUGCAUUGGUGGAAGCACUUCAAAAUGGGGUUAUUAAGGCUGCUGCUUUAGAUGUGACAUACCCUGAACCUCUGCCAAGGCACCAUCCUUUGUUAAAAUUAAAGAAUAUUAUUAUAACUCCUCACAUUGGAAGUGCUACUACAAGUUCUCGUCGCCUCAUGAUGAAGAAUAUGGUUGAAAGCAUAUUGGCUGCUCUUAAUGGUCUCCCUAUCCCUAAUGAAGUGAUUCCCUAAAAUGACUUGCAUUUGGCAAAACUUUAAUGUUUAUGAUAACAAGAAUAAACUGUCAUUUGACACCUA